GACGAACGCUGGCGGCGUGCCUAAUACAUGCAAGUUGAGCGAUGAAGAUUGGUGCUUGCACCCAUUUGAAGAGCAGCGAACGGGUGAGUAACGCGUGGGGAAUCUGCCUUUGAGCGGGGGACAACAUUUGGAAACGAAUGCUAAUACCGCAUAACAACUUUAAACAUAAGUUUUAAGUUUGAAAGAUGCAAUUGCAUCACUCAAAGAUGAUCCCGCGUUGUAUUAGCUAGUUGGUGAGGUAAAGGCUCACCAAGGCGAUGAUACAUAGCCGACCUGAGAGGGUGAUCGGCCACAUUGGGACUGAGACACGGCCCAAACUCCUACGGGAGGCAGCAGUAGGGAAUCUUCGGCAAUGGACGAAAGUCUGACCGAGCAACGCCGCGUGAGUGAAGAAGGUUUUCGGAUCGUAAAACUCUGUUGGUAGAGAAGAACGUUGGUGAGAGUGGAAAGCUCAUCAAGUGACGGUAACUACCCAGAAAGGGACGGCUAACUACGU
rnacentral:rRNA from 1 species